GAUGAAGAACGUAGUAAAGUGCGAUAUGUACUGCGCUGUGCGCGAAAUGCGCAGUCAUUCUUCGAAUACACAUUGUCCUGUCUGGCGAACAGCCGGCAGGGCAUCUGCUUCAGGGUUGUUGAUUAGUUUUAGCGCCGCCUCUGUCGGUGUUCCUAAGGGGUGUCACUACCACGGUGUCCCCCUCCACUUGCAGUCCUCGUUGCUCUUGCUUCUGUGGACUUGGGUGUCUAGCAGUCUGGUUCAUUGCUUGCAUUGUUCCGCUUCUGGCUUGCUUCUCCCUAACAAUUUAAUUGACCCGACCUGAAGUCAGGUGUGAGUACCCGCUGAACUUAAGCAUAUCAAUAAGCGGAGGA
rnacentral:misc_RNA from 1 species